GGUGUGAUCUCGAGUAGGUACUGCAGAUGACAUGAGAAUCGCAAGGCACUCGCAUUGUCGUUGUAGGGCAGCAACCCAUCGUUGUGCACCGAACCCCAUCCCGGCGCGAAUCAACGGUCGGUAAAGCUCGUGAACAGCAUUUUCAUCGUAUUCGGCAUGCUCCACCCACUAACCAUUAGGCAUAUCUUGAACAACACAACCAGAAGGAAGCCUUCUACAGCUCAAAUACGCCGGUUGGCCAUCUCGAAUUGUAUCGAUUGACACAUCAACCACCGCCCACACACCCUCCGCGUGUUGCUUGCAAAAGCGGAGAAAGUUGACCUCACGGACCGG
rnacentral:lncRNA from 1 species